rnacentral:rRNA from 1 species
UCAGUGUGUGUGUUAGUGGAAGCGUCUGGAAAGGCGUGCGAUACAGGGUGACAGCCCCGUACACAAAAAUGCACAUAUUGUGAGCUCGAUGAGUAGGGCGGGACACGUGGUAUCCUGUCUGAAUAUGGGGGGACCAUCCUCCAAGGCUAAAUACUCCUGACUGACCGAUAGUGAACCAGUACCGUGAGGGAAAGGCGAAAAGAACCCCGGCGAGGGGAGUGAAAAAGAACCUGAAACCGUGUACGUACAAGCAGUGGGAGCCUCUUAAUGGGGUGACUGCGUACCUUUUGUAUAAUGGGUCAGCGACUUAUAUUCUGUAGCAAGGUUAACCGAAUAGGGGAGCCGAAGGGAAACCGAGUCUUAACUGGGCGUUAAGUUGCAGGGUAUAGACCCGAAACCCGGUGAUCUAGCCAUGGGCAGGUUGAAGGUUGGGUAACACUAACUGGAGGACCGAACCGACUAAUGUUGAAAAAUUAGCGGAUGACUUGUGGCUGGGGGUGAAAGGCCAAUCAAACCGGGAGAUAGCUGGUUCUCCCCGAAAGCUAUUUAGGUAGCGCCUCGUGAAUUCAUCUCCGGGGGUAGAGCACUGUUUCGGCAAGGGGGUCAUCCCGACUUACCAACCCGAUGCAAACUGCGAAUACCGGAGAAUGUUAUCACGGGAGACACACGGCGGGUGCUAACGUCCGUCGUGAAGAGGGAAACAACCCAGACCGCCAGCUAAGGUCCCAAAGUCAUGGUUAAGUGGGAAACGAUGUGGGAAGGCCCAGACAGCCAGGAUGUUGGCUUAGAAGCAGCCAUCAUUUAAAGAAAGCGUAAUAGCUCACUGGUCGAGUCGGCCUGCGCGGAAGAUGUAACGGGGCUAAACCAUGCACCGAAGCUGCGGCAGCGACACUAUGUGUUGUUGGGUAGGGGAGCGUUCUGUAAGCC